GUGAUUCUAGUCUAAUGGUUUAGGACCCCCGCCUUUGAGCGGAGGUCCCGAGUUCAAUUCUCUAGGUGCACC
rnacentral:tRNA from 1 species